rnacentral:rRNA from 1 species
AUUGAACGCUGGCGGCAGGCCUAACACAUGCAAGUCGAGCGGAGCGUCGGACGGGUGAUUAAUACCUAGGCAUUUGCCUGGUAGUGGGGCAUAACGUUCGGCAACGGAAGCUAAUACCGCAUACUCUCAGCUGAGCCUAGGGCGGAUUAGCUAGUUGGUGAGGUAAUGGCUCACCAAGGCUACGAUCCGUAACUGGUCUGAGAGGAUGAUCAGUCACACUGGAACGGAUACACGGUCCAGACUCCUACGUGAGGCAGCAGGGGGGAAUAUUGGACGAUGGGCGAAAGCCUGAUCCAGCCAUGCCGAGGGUGUGAAGAAGGUCUUCGGAUUGUAAAGCACUUUAAGUUGGGAGGCGUUACCGACAGAAUAAGCACCGGCUAACUCUGUGCCAGCAGCAGCGGUAAUAC